AAAGAAUAUGAAGAAGAAGAAGAACGAAGAGAAUGAAGAAGAAGAAAGAAGAUAAGAAUUAAUUAUUCUUCUCGAGUGGGAGAUAAGGCUGACCCAAUUUGAUGACACGCCCACUUUCUUCGACACGUGCAUCCACAAGGCAGGUGUACAUCAGGCAAUUGGGAAUCUUCCUUGAUCUUGCACUCCUGGCAGAUUUUCAAAGACAAUGUUGGUGCAUCUUACCCUACCAUGAGAUUGUAGCCACAAGUUGGUGUGUUUCAUGCAGUAACCAGCCAUUUUGUUUGCGUCAGUAUUUCAUUGCUUACCAAGCUCUCCCCUUUUGAUGGAUUUGUAAUGCUCCCAUGUGUAGUUACCAAUGUCAAAAACCAGCAGAUGCCAAUGUUCACCUAGAGGCCUUUUUGAUUUCGCAUUACCACUGUGUGGGUCUGUAUUCAUAGGAAUGAGCAUCUUUUCAGUUCUGUCAUGCAUGUCUCUUAUAAACUGAUCAACUUCUUCCGUUC